rnacentral:rRNA from 1 species
GAACCGAACGCUGGCGGACAGGCCUAACACAUGCAAGUCGAACGCCCCGCAAGGGGGAGUGGCAGACGGGUGAGUAAACACGUGGGAACGUACCCUUCGGUUCGGGAUAACUCAGGGAAACUUGAGCUAAUACCGGAUACGUCCGAGAGGAGAAAGAUUUAUCGCCGAGGGAUCGGCCCGCGUCUNAUUAGCUUGUUGGUGAGGUAACGGCUCACCAAGGCGACGAUCAGUAGCUGGUCUGAGAGGAUGAUCAGCCACAUUGGGACUGAGACACGGCCCAAACUCCUACGGGAGGCAGCAGUGGGGAAUAUUGGACAAUGGGCGCAAGCCUGAUCCAGCCAUGCCGCGUGAGUGAUGAAGGCCCUA